CAUAAGGCUUUUCUCAAAGCCCCAUUUUAUUUGUACAUAUUAUUUU
rfam:Picea glauca, whole genome shotgun sequence.